AAUGAUUUAAUUGAAUGGCCGCAGUAUUUUGACUGUGCAAAGGUAGCAUAAUCAUUAGUUUCUUAAUUAGAAACUGGAAUGAAAGGUUGGACGAGAAAAUAACUGUCUCUUUAUAAAUUUUUUAGAAUUUUAUUUUUAAGUUAAAAAGCUUAAAUAAUUUUAAAAGACGAGAAGACCCUAUAGAGUUUUAUAUAGUAGAAAAUAAUUUUUUUUAUAGAAAUUUUUUAAUAUUAUUUUUGAUAUAUUUGAUUGGGGUGAUUUAAAAAUUUAUUAAACUUUUUUUUUAUAAAAACAUUUAUUUAUGAAUAUAUGAUCCAUAAAAUUAUGAUUAGAAGAUUAAAUUACCUUAGGGAUAACAGCGUAAUUUCUUUUUAGAGUUCAAAUCGAUAAAGAAGAUUGCGACCUCGAUGUUGGAUUAAAAUUUAAUAUAGGUGUAGAAGCUUAUAGGGUUAGGUCUGUUCGACCUUUAAAAUUUUACAUGAUCUGAGUUUAAACCGGUGUGAGCCAGGUUGGUUUCUAUCUUUAAAAAUUUUUAAUGUUUUAGUACGAAAGGACCAAAUAUUAAUAAUAAUUAU
rnacentral:rRNA from 1 species